AGAUUUCUGACACAUAGAUUGAUUGGGGGCGGGUUCCUCGGCUAAAAGACACCGAGCAUUAGAAGCUUUCCAUCUUUUGUUCUGAGAGUUUAAAAAAAAAAUCAGGAAGAUUUAAUUCAGUUGUCCACCUUAAAUAGAGUCACGUGAGCUCGUCAUUCUAGAAUCUAGAAAGUGAAAUUAAAUCCAAUUCUGAAAUGUAGGCUACACAUCUCCCACAGUACCUUCCCAGACCAUUUCGUAAACAGACACACAUACGCCGUUCAUACACAUAUUAAAUGUUCACGUUCUUUGGUCUGAUGAAGCAAGGGGGACACGAGACACACAAAAAGUUUUGUUUGGUUUUUGGAAAUGAUAGUGAGGAAAUUGCAAAAUACUUUGAACACUAAUUUCUUACUCCAUUUACCUCCCUUUAGUAAAGGCUUGUACUUAUUCAAUAUAAUACCACAUAUUAAAUGGUGAACAGUCCUCUUUGAGCAAUCAAAAUUGCUGUGAAGUAACUCGUCAAGAUCUAAACUUCAAUAUAAGAAUGCAAAGAUAUUCACAACUAAAUUCAAGCUCUAAAAGCAAACAAUAAGAAUGGAAGUUUGUUAAGAAUUUUAUUAUCUCCAACACAACUAAAGAAAUCCCACAAUUUGUUUGUAGACAAAACAAGGUCAUGAGAUUUUCAUGUCAACAUAAAUAACUAGUGUCUGAUUAGAUUAAAAUAGCUCUGAGUUCACCCUCAGGAUAAAAUAAAGCCUACAAACCAAAUAAACAUUUUAAAUUGCAUGACCUAAUUGUAGUUGUAAGCCAAUCACAGUAGAUUGAUGACACACAAUCAGAGAAAAUCAGGCACAGCCAAUCAUGAGACUUAAAUAUCUAGUAGCAGUUUGUUCAUUUUAAAAUACAAUUGAAAAACAUCUACAAGUUGCUAUAUGUAUCAGGGCUUCUCCACUAACAAGUGUUUUGGCUGUUACAAUCAUGUGAUGUGUUUGACUAAAUCCAAUGUUUGUAUGCUACUGGUUGAUGUCCAAUGAAACAUAAUUAAAGCCCAGCAUGGAAUAUGAAACCCCCAAUUUGUAAAUCAUGGCAAUAGCCCACUGUAUUAACUGUCCCAUGAGAACAUUACAAGCAAAAAUUAAACAAAAUAAAAAAUGGAAAGUUUUGUUUCAAAGCCAGCAGCACACACACGGAGAAGUCAAGAAAAAUGUGAUAAGGUUAAGGUAUGGGUCACUAAUGAAGAGUUUGGUAAGGUAUGGGUCACUAAUGAAGAGUUUGGUAAGGUAUGGGUCACUAAUGAAGUUACCAAUUCAAAAUAACCAUCUAAAAGUUUUUUUUUAUUUUUAACUAGAAUAAAGCAUUAAUUAGUUAAAACAUUUUCAAUUUUUUUAACAAUUCAAGGAAUAUUCUCUUUCUGUGUUGAAACACAUUUCUUGUUACAACUAGGGGGGAUACUCUAGCCUAUAUAGAGUGAUCUAUCAAUAUUCAGCAUAAAGAAACAGUGCAUUAAAUCAUUCUAGAAUGAAGUAAGCUCUUACAUAAACAAAUUAGCUGGAAUAAAGUAGGUUAUUUAAGAGAGGUAACUCCACUGUGAACAGGUGUACGGUACACUAUAAAAUAGUAUGGAUUUAGCAGAAAUUCAGUUUUAUAUACUUUAUUUUUGUUUAUGAAAAAUAGUUUAUAAAAUUAUAAAACUAUACAAAUGUCAGGAAAUAAACAAAAAACAAUUUGGACUUAUAAAAUAUCAAUCAUUUGUCCAGUCAUAGAUUUAAAGAAAGAAAAAAAGUCCCAAUAUGUACAAGAUUAAAAACAAACUUGGAUGAUGAAAUAAAUUAAAUAAAUGAUGGUUACAGUGGCAAAUUGAUCAACAUUAUGUUUUCAAACCAACACAAUCAUUUUGUGUUUUUGUGAACUCUUCACUCAGAAGGUCAAGUUAUCAGCGAUGUAGUUUUGCAUGGCAAUGAGAGGGUCAAGCAGGAAUAACAAACAAACAAAAGUUGCAAUUGAUUUGGACUUAAUACAUAAUAAAAGGAUAUUCAUCAUCAAAUUUUGAUUAAUUAUGGAAAAAAAUAAGUACAAUUAAUUAACCAGAACUAUAUUUCAGUCAGCAAAGAAAAUCAAUUAGCAGGAGUUUUAUUUGAAAUUAAUUAUUUACUUUUGGUGAAUUCAUUUCAAAGACAGAAUGCAAAGUGUUCAGUAGUUUUGUUUCAAUCAUUCACACUUUGUCCAGUGCUAACUUACUUGUACUGAGAGACUUUAAAAGAAAAAACUUGUUCAGUUAAAGGUCAAGUCUAUUGCAAACUUUUGUUUCCAAGAAUGAUGUUCAGUUAUCUCCACUCUUCAGAAAUUCUAGCAUGUGGGUGAAGCAAUCAACAGAAUGCAUAGAAGGCGACUUUUCAAACCAACAAAUAUUUGUCUAAAUGUAGGACUCUUGUUAAAACAAGUCAACAUUGAAAUAGGUCAACAUGUCAGAAACUUCAUGUUCUAAAAAUGGUAGAAACUAAAUAAGCAGAAAGAUUUGUUCUAUACAUUCUAAGCAAAUCAGAAAGAAAAAAACUAAAGAGAAUCUGUAAUAAAAA
rnacentral:sRNA from 1 species